CGCGUCCUCUCCAGUUCCUGCCUCCCCUCUGCCCGCUGCAAACUUAGCUGCUUCUUUAUCCUAUGACCAGUUUUUAUCGGCUCUGGGGAUUAGCAGGGACCAGAGCCCAAGCCUCGGGAGCGCUCAGCCUCACACUCAGGUCCUCUUCACUUGGGAUCAAUGCGGAAAAGAAGGGUUUCACCACAGGAGAGGAGAGAGAAGAUGUAGCAUCAGGAUGCUGAUGAGGGAGGAAAGAGAAGAAAAGAUGCCAGAGGAAGCAGCAGACAAAGUUGGAAGCUGGAGGACAGGGGCCCUACUUCCUGCCUGUAACAGGCCCCACUUCAUUCCUAGCAGCCAUCAAAUACCAACCCAGAAGUGUUGGGAAAUAGAGUGCACAGAGAGAACAUAAAGAUACUGAAAAGGUUA